rnacentral:lncRNA from 1 species
CGUCACUUCAUUAUUGGCUGCACCUGCGCAAUCAUGUGAUGCGAUACAUUUUUCAAAGACGUUUUUCAAGACACAGGAGAGGUCGGGUUGAAACAUUACUGAUGUUUCACGUUAAAAAUGGCUCUAAAGAUUGAUGCUAAACAACGUUUGACAUGUUUGAACAAUGUAAAUAGAUUAUUUUUUUUACUUUUCGCCGUGACUCCCCCCCGCGCUACUUUUUAGUAGCCUACCGAAGCGCUAACAACAUGGAACAACUUGGAGUUAUUUGGACAUCAAUUAUGAACUUUGUCAAAAGAAACCACAUUUGUAGUGGACCUGGGAUUUCUAGAAGUGCCAAUGGAUGAAGAUAAUCAAAGAUUAAUCCUGCUGCUAAUGAAGAUGACCUUGACACCAGCUUUAGUAAUAAAGAGCCUGUAGACCCAUUGGAUGAAAGCUUUCAGCCGGGAACAAGCUCAAGCGCAACAACAUCUGACUCAGAAACAAGCCAGGACAGCCAAAGGAGACUUACAAUACAAACAAAUAUUCUGCAAGAGGUCAAAGCAGUGGGUGGUGAAGAAAGUGUAGAAGCCCAGCCCGGUCAGCUGAGAAGGCACUACAGAGUUGGUAAAUAUUAGCAAUUGAAAUGCUAAUCCUUUGCACAUGAACGCUCACUCAUUCGGGAACAAUUGCAAUCAAUAUAUAUAUUUACGCUCACUGUGUCGUCGGGAUCUUUGUUGGAAAGGUCGUUCUGUUGGAGAGUUCUCUCUCUCAUAGAGAGCCCUUGGUUCUCUAUGGUACAGUAGGUCAGGGAGUGACUAGGGGGUGUUCUAGGUUUAUUAUUUCUAUGUUGGUGUGCUUGGUAUGGUUCCCAAUUAGAGGCAGCUGGUAAUCGUUGCCUCUAAUUGGGGAUCAUAUUUAGGUAGCCUUUUUCCCACCUGUGUUUUUGUGGGAUAUUGUUUUGAGUUAAGUGCAUGUAGCACCUCUGAUGUCACGGUUCGUUGAUUGUUUACUUGUUUUGUUUGAGAAGUUCGCACUA